GUGAAUCAUCGAAUUUUUGAACGCAUAUUGCACUCUCUGGUACUCCGGAGAGUAUGCCUAUUUGAGGGUCAUUUGAAAUAAUAUAAAUUUCGAGAGUUUCUUGGAAUCAAAAAUGGGACGGUCCAGCAUUCGUGUGGUGGUCGCCUAAAAUGCAAGACAAGCACAGUUCUUGGGGUGAGUGAUACGUUCAGGUACCUCGUGACUUCACAAGGAAUCGUUGAGCGUGUUAGGAAUUGUGCACGAGAUAUACUUUCUUUUAUCUAGAGCUCAAUAUUAAAUUGAAUCAUGACUU
rnacentral:misc_RNA from 1 species